ACGAACGCUGGCGGCGUGCUUCACACAUGCCAGUCGAACGGAAAGGCCCUGCUUUUGUGGGGUGCUCGAGUGGCGAACGGGUGAGUAACACGUGAGUAACCUGCCCUUGACUUUGGGAUAACUUCAGGAAACUGGGGCUAAUACCGGAUAGGAGCUCCUGCUGCAUGGUGGGGGUUGGAAAGUUUCGGCGGUUGGGGAUGGACUCGCGGCUUAUCAGCUUGUUGGUGGGGUAGUGGCUUACCAAGGCUUUGACGGGUAGCCGGCCUGAGAGGGUGACCGGCCACAUUGGGACUGAGAUACGGCCCAGACUCCUACGGGAGGAAGCAGUGGGGAAUAUUGCACAAUGGGCGGAAGCCUGAUGCAGCAACGCCGCGUGCGGGAUGACGGCCUUCGGGUUGUAAACCGCUUUCGCCUGUGACGAAGCGUGAGUGACGGUAAUGGGUAAAGAAGCACCGGCUAACUACGUG
rnacentral:rRNA from 1 species